rnacentral:rRNA from 1 species
AGAGUUUGAUCCUGGCUCAGAUUGAACGCUGGCGGCAGGCCUAACACAUGCAAGUCGAGCGGUAGCACAGAGAGCUUGCUCUCGGGUGACGAGCGGCGGACGGGUGAGUAAUGUCUGGGAAACUGCCUGAUGGAGGGGGAUAACUACUGGAAACGGUAGCUAAUACCGCAUAAUGUCGCAAGACCAAAGUGGGGGACCUUCGGGCCUCAUGCCAUCAGAUGUGCCCAGAUGGGAUUAGCUAGUAGGUGGGGUAACGGCUCACCUAGGCGACGAUCCCUAGCUGGUCUGAGAGGAUGACCAGCCACACUGGAACUGAGACACGGUCCAGACUCCUACGGGAGGCAGCAGUGGGGAAUAUUGCACAAUGGGCGCAAGCCUGAUGCAGCCAUGCCGCGUGUGUGAAGAAGGCCUUCGGGUUGUAAAGCACUUUCAGCGGGGAGGAAGGCGGUGAGGUUAAUAACCUCAUCGAUUGACGUUACCCGCAGAAGAAGCACCGGCUAACUCCGUGCCAGCAGCCGCGGUAAUACGGAGGGUGCAAGCGUUAAUCGGAAUUACUGGGCGUAAAGCGCACGCAGGCGGUCUGUCAAGUCGGAUGUGAAAUCCCCGGGCUUAACCUGGGAACUGCAUUCGAAACUGGCAGGCUAGAGUCUUGUAGAGGGGGGUAGAAUUCCAGGUGUAGCGGUGAAAUGCGUAGAGAUCUGGAGGAAUACCGGUGGCGAAGGCGGCCCCCUGGACAAAGACUGACGCUCAGGUGCGAAAGCGUGGGGAGCAAACAGGAUUAGAUACCCUGGUAGUCCACGCCGUAAACGAUGUCGAUUUGGAGGUUGUGCCCUUGAGGCGUGGCUUCCGGAGCUAACGCGUUAAAUCGACCGCCUGGGGAGUACGGCCGCAAGGUUAAAACUCAAAUGAAUUGACGGGGGCCCGCACAAGCGGUGGAGCAUGUGGUUUAAUUCGAUGCAACGCGAAGAACCUUACCUGGUCUUGACAUCCACAGAACUUUCCAGAGAUGGAUUGGUGCCUUCGGGAACUGUGAGACAGGUGCUGCAUGGCUGUCGUCAGCUCGUGUUGUGAAAUGUUGGGUUAAGUCCCGCAACGAGCGCAACCCUUAUCCUUUGUUGCCAGCGGUCCGGCCGGGAACUCAAAGGAGACUGCCAGUGAUAAACUGGAGGAAGGUGGGGAUGACGUCAAGUCAUCAUGGCCCUUACGACCAGGGCUACACACGUGCUACAAUGGCAUAUACAAAGAGAAGCGACCUCGCGAGAGCAAGCGGACCUCAUAAAGUAUGUCGUAGUCCGGAUUGGAGUCUGCAACUCGACUCCAUGAAGUCGGAAUCGCUAGUAAUCGUAGAUCAGAAUGCUACGGUGAAUACGUUCCCGGGCCUUGUACACACCGCCCGUCACACCAUGGGAGUGGGUUGCA